CCGUAGAUUAGAUAUGUUUUGUAUUGUCUUCAUUUAUUCGGAAAUAAUGUAGUUGCAAGGCUACGCCAUGACAGAAUUUAGCAAUCUUGUUUUCUAAUUAUUCUCUCUGCGCAUGAUUUGUCUCUUACUUUUCUUUUUUUUUUUCCUUAUUAGUUAUUUUUGUAACAUAUCUUACGUCAUUUCCAGGCAAGUUUCAUUUUCGACUCC